UAGGGAAUCUUCGGCAAUGGACGAAAGUCUGACCGAGCAACGCCGCGUGAGUGAAGAAGGUUUUCGGAUCGUAAAACUCUGUUGUUAGAGAAGAACGUUGCAUAGAGUGGAAAAUUAUGCAAGUGACGGUAUCUAACCAGAAAGGGACGGCUAACUACGUGCCAGCAGCCGCGGUAAUACGUAGGUCCCGAGCGUUGUCCGGAUUUAUUGGGCGUAAAGCGAGCGCAGGUGGUUUAAUAAGUCUGAUGUAAAAGGCAGUGGCUCAACCAUUGUGUGCAUUGGAAACUGUUAGACUUGAGUGCAGUAGAGGAGAGUGGAAUUCCAUGUGUAGCGGUGAAAUGCGUAGAUAUAUGGAGGAACACCGGUGGCGAAAGCGGCUCUCUGGACUGUCACUGACACUGAGGCUCGAAAGCGUGGGUAGCAAACAGGAUUAGAUACCCUGGUAGUCCACGCC
rnacentral:rRNA from 1 species